rnacentral:tRNA from 1 species
UAAUAUGAAGCAAUAACGCAGUUAGUUUCGACCUAAUAACUUGAUAAUUUUAUUAUCCAUAUUAA